rnacentral:rRNA from 1 species
CCUACGGGAGGCUGCAGUGGGGAAUAUUGGGCAAUGGGGGAAACCCUGACCCAGCAACGCCGCGUGAAGGAAGAAGGCUUUCGGGUUGUAAACUUCUUUUAUGUGGGACGAAGAAGUGACGGUACCACAUGAAUAAGCCACGGCUAACUACGUGCCAGCAGCCGCGGUAAUACGUAGGUGGCGAGCGUUGUCCGGAUUUACUGGGUGUAAAGGGCGCGUAGGCGGGAAUGCAAGUCAGGUGUGAAAUCUAUGGGCUUAACCCAUAAACUGCACUUGAAACUGUAUUUCUUGAGUGAUGGAGAGGCAAGCGGAAUUCCUAGUGUAGCGGUGAAAUGCGUAGAUAUUAGGAGGAACACCAGUGGCGAAGGCGGCCUGCUGGACAUUAACUGACGCUGAGGCGCGAAAGCGUGGGGAGCAAACAGGCUUAGAUACCCCAGUAGUC